CAGGCCGGGCUCCAGAGUAGCCCCUUCUGUCUCGCUUCUUCAGCACCGGGGCUGCCCUAGUUGGGAAGUGAGAGCUCAGCGGUAUAGUCAUUUACGAAGCGGAUGGGCUCCUGGACUCUGGGGCCUCGAACUGUUUCGGAGACUGAUGGGCAAGAGGCCCUGCAGCCUAGGGGCAGGCUGUCAGUGGCUUGGCCGGGGCCGGAGUCUGACCCGGUUGUCGGAGCUCGGCUGGUCCAAGCUUGCCUCUGCCCCCGGCUAUCCGUAUGUUCCAAAGAGGGGAUGAUUCCUUCACCUGGAUCCCAGAUUGAUGGAACAAAACUGAAGAUGACUGUGAUUGACAAACAACAUGAAGAGAAAUAAACCUUACUUGACCAAGGAGCUGUUGCAGCCACACGAUGGCAGAAACUCCAUCAUCAUGGUCCUUGAAUAAGAUGGCCUCCCCAUCUGUAAUGGG